AUUGAACGCUGGCGGCAGGCCUAACACAUGCAAGUCGAGCGAGCGGCGGACGGGUGAGUAAUGUCUGGGAAACUGCCUGAUGGAGGGGGAUAACUACUGGAAACGGUAGCUAAUACCGCAUACCAUCAGAUGUGCCCAGAUGGGAUUAGCUAGUAGGUGGGGUAACGGCUCACCUAGGCGACGAUCCCUAGCUGGUCUGAGAGGAUGACCCGCCACACUGGAACUGGGCCACGGUCCAGACUCCUACGGGAGGGAGCAGUGGGGAAUAUUGGACAAUGGGCGCAAGCCUGAUGCAGCCAUGCCGCGUGUGUGAAGAAGGACUUCGGGUUGUAAAGCACUUUCAGCGGGGAGGCGUUACCAACAGAAUAAGCACCGGCUAACUUCGUGCCAGCAGCCGCGGUAAUAC
rnacentral:rRNA from 1 species